rnacentral:lncRNA from 1 species
UAAAGGCACUUAUAAUAAAACAAUACUGAAAGAGAGCACAUGGACUAACUUGGGGACAGGGUUUGUGUAUACGGACUAUGGGAAUGCCAAGGUUCCAGGAGGCAAAGUUUCCUUGAAACUCUUCACCUCGUGACUGCUUUCAGGCCCUUAGGCCCACCAAGCAGACUGCACUGGAGUGGACGUAGCAAAUAUGACAAGAAGUUCCUGUGAAUUUCAGGUUCACAUGUGAGUAUUUUUUUCUUCAGGUAUUUUCUGUUGUUUGAGGUAGACAGUAUUUAUACAACCAGAAAAUAAGUCCCCCUGUUAAUGAAUUCCAAUAUGACAAGAAUCUGUUUUGCCUUUGUAGCCUUACCUUUUCUCUAGAAAUAUUACCCUGAGCUGCCAAAAGCUGAAUGAGGGUUAUUUUCAAACAUGUGAUGGUUUGUUUAUGCUCAGCCCAGAGAGUGGCACUAUUAGAAGGUGUGGCCCUGUUGGAGUAGGUGUGCCACUGUGGGUGUGGGCUUAAGACCCUCAUCCUAGCUGCCUUGAAGCCAGUCUUCCACUAGCAGCCUUCAGAUGAAGAUGUAGAACCAUGCCUGCCUGGAUGCUGCCAUGCUUCCACCUUGAUGAUAAUGGACUGAAUCUCUGAACCUGUCAGCCAGCCCCAAUUAAAUGUUGUCCUUUAUAAGACUUGCCUUGGUCAUGGUGUCUGUUCACAGCAGUAACGCCCUAACUAAGAAGGCUCAUGUGAAACAAGAAGGGAACGAAAGAGUGUGGAAAUCAUUUGCUCCCCUCCACCACCACCCACAGCCCUCCAGCCCCCCACCCCCUGCUAUUAUUUGAGCUUCAUACUUUUUCAUUGAUGAAGAAAUGUUUGCCAUUGUAGUCACUGUCUUAUGGCUGAAGCAAUACUUAUGCUCUGGCACAUGUAUGAAAUAAUCUUGCUGAUGGGAACUUUAUCUAAAGUAUCAAUAAAUGAAUUUUGAGUAGGAAAAUGUUUUGUUUUUUCCUUUGCAGAAGGCAAAAGAUGAGCAGGCCGCUUGAGGAAAAAAAUCCUGUAAGUCUUUUGGUUUAUGUCAGAGAC